AGAGUUUGAUCAUGGCUCAGGAUGAACGCUGGCGGCGUGCCUAAUACAUGCAAGUCGAGCGAAUGGAUUAAGAGCUUGCUCUUAUGAAGUUAGCGGCGGACGGGUGAGUAACACGUGGGUAACCUGCCCAUAAGACUGGGAUAACUCCGGGAAACCGGGGCUAAUACCGGAUAACAUUUUGAACCGCAUGGUUCGAAAUUGAAAGGCGGCUUCGGCUGUCACUUAUGGAUGGACCCGCGUCGCAUUAGCUAGUUGGUGAGGUAACGGCUCACCAAGGCAACGAUGCGUAGCCGACCUGAGAGGGUGAUCGGCCACACUGGGACUGAGACACGGCCCAGACUCCUACGGGAGGCAGCAGUAGGGAAUCUUCCGCAAUGGACGAAAGUCUGACGGAGCAACGCCGCGUGAGUGAUGAAGGCUUUCGGGUCGUAAAACUCUGUUGUUAGGGAAGAACAAGUGCUAGUUGAAUAAGCUGGCACCUUGACGGUACCUAACCAGAAAGCCACGGCUAACUACGUGCCAGCAGCCGCGGUAAUACGUAGGUGGCAAGCGUUAUCCGGAAUUAUUGGGCGUAAAGCGCGCGCAGGUGGUUUCUUAAGUCUGAUGUGAAAGCCCACGGCUCAACCGUGGAGGGUCAUUGGAAACUGGGAGACUUGAGUGCAGAAGAGGAAAGUGGAAUUCCAUGUGUAGCGGUGAAAUGCGUAGAGAUAUGGAGGAACACCAGUGGCGAAGGCGACUUUCUGGUCUGUAACUGACACUGAGGCGCGAAAGCGUGGGGAGCAAACAGGAUUAGAUACCCCCGUAGUCC
rnacentral:rRNA from 1 species